rnacentral:rRNA from 1 species
AUGAUUGCUGAAAUAAAAAAUGUGUUCCAAGGGUUGUUCAAGGAAUACCUACAAUUGAAUGGCAAUGGCUCAGAUCCCAUGUCACAAGGAGGUGAUGAUGACAUGGCUGUACCCAUCCAUCAAAGUGAUCAAUUCAAUAUCCUUGCAUGGUGGCAGACCAACUCAGGUGAAUACCCAACACUGAGUCGCAUGGCAGCAGAUAUCUUGGCGCCUCCUGCCUCUGCGGUGGCAUCCGAGUCUGCCUUCAGCACAGGGAAGAGAGUCCUAUCAGAUUUUGGAAGUCGAAUGACCGCAACAACACUUGAAGCUCUUGUUUGCUUACAAGAUUGGAUAAGGGCCAGUGAUAAAGCCAUAGGACACAAGGAACUAUUUGCAAGAUGCAGCCCAAUCAUAUAUCGAGGAUUGAUGCUUUUUGGAGCAAUUCAUGUUAAACCUCAAGCAGAUGAUGAAGCAAAGAUAAGUCAGCUUUCUCUAUAA